rnacentral:rRNA from 1 species
AUUGAACGCUGGCGGUAGGCCUAACACAUGCAAGUCGAACGGCAGCACAGUAAGAGCUUGCUCUUACGGGUGGCGAGUGGCGGACGGGUGAGGAAUACAUCGGAAUCUACUUUUUCGUGGGGGAGAACGUAGGGAAACUUACGCUAAUACCGCAUACGACCUACGGGUGAAAGCAUGGGAUCUUCGGACCUUGCGCGAUUGAAUGAGCCGAUGUCGGAUUAGCUAGUUGGCGGGGUAAAGGCCCACCAAGGCGACGAUCCGUAGCUGGUCUGAGAGGAUGAUCAGCCACACUGGAACUGAGACACGGUCCAGACUCCUACGGGAGGCAGCAGUGGGGAAUAUUGGACAAUGGGCGAAAGCCUGAUCCAGCCAUACCGCGUGGGUGAAGAAGGCCUUCGGGUUGUAAAGCCCUUUUGUUGGGAAAGAAAAGCAGCAGGUUAAUACCCCGCUGUUCUGACGGUACCCAAAGAAUAAGCACCGGCUAACUUCGUG